AAGUUUGGAUAAUGGGGGAAACCAUGAUCCAGCCAUUCAGUGUGAGUGAUGAAGGCCUUCGGGAUGAAAAGCACUUUUGUCAGGAUCGAAAAUUAUCAGGCUUAUACCUGGAACUGAUGACGGUACUCGAAGAAUAAGACCCGGCUAAUUACAUGCCAGUAUCCGCUGUAAUAGGUAGGGUGCAAGCGUUAAUCGGAAUUACUGGGCGUAUAGCGUGCGCAGGCGGUUCGGAAAGAAGGAUGUAAAAUCCCAGAGCUCAACCUUGGAACUGCGUUCUUAACUACCGAACUAGAGUAUGUCAGAGGGGGGUAGAAUUCCGCGUGUAGCAGUGAAAUGCGUAGAUAUGCGGAGGAAUACAGAUGGCGAAGGCAGCACCCUGGGAUAAUACUGACGCUCAUGCACGAAAGCGUGGAUAGCAAACAGG
rnacentral:rRNA from 1 species